rnacentral:rRNA from 1 species
GCUGUCUCAAAGAUUAAGCCAUGCAUGGUCCUUGCUACUUGGAUAACCGUAGUAAUUCUAGAGCUAAUACAUGCAUCAAGCCCCGACUUCUGGAAGGGGUGUAUUUAUUAGAUGGAAACCAAUGCGGGGCAACCCGGUAUAUGGUGAUUCAUAAUAACUUUCGGAUCGAUUUAUCGAUGCAUCAUUCAAGUUUCUGCCCUAUCAGCUUUGGAUGGUAGGGUAUUGGCCUACCAUGGCUUUAACGGGUAACGGAGAAUUAGGGUUCGAUUCCGGAGAGGGAGCCUGAGAAAUGGCUACCACAUCCAAGGAAGGCAGCAGG